GACGAACGCUGGCGGCGUGCUUAACACAUGCAAGUCGAACGCUGAAGCUUGGUGCUUGCACUGGGUGGAUGAGUGGCGAACGGGUGAGUAAUACGUGAGUAACCUGCCCUUGACUCUGGGAUAAGCCUGGGAAACUGGGUCUAAUACUGGAUAUGACCUCCUGUCGCAUGGUGGGGGUGAAAGGGUUUGUACUGGUUGUGGAUGGGCUCACGGCCUAUCAGCUUGUUGGUGGGGUAAUGGCCUACCAAGGCGACGACGGGUAGCCGGCCUGAGAGGGUGACCGGCCACACUGGGACUGAGACACGGCCCAGACUCCUACGGGAGGCAGCAGUGGGGAAUAUUGCACAAUGGGCGCAAGCCUGAUGCAGCGACGCCGCGUGAGGGAUGACGGCCUUCGGGUUGGUAACCCUCUUUCAGCACGGAGAAGCGAAAGUGACGGUACGUGCAGAAGAAGCGCCGGCUAAC
rnacentral:rRNA from 1 species